rnacentral:rRNA from 1 species
GAUGAACGCUGGCGGCGUGCCUAAUACAUGCAAGUCGAGCGAACAGACGAGGAGCUUGCUCCUCUGACGUUAGCGGCGGACGGGUGAGUAACACGUGGAUAACCUACCUAUAAGACUGGGAUAACUUCGGGAAACCGGAGCUAAUACCGGAUAAUAUAUUGAACCGCAUGGUUCAAUAGUGAAAGACGGUUUUGCUGUCACUUAUAGAUGGAUCCGCGCCGCAUUAGCUAGUUGGUAAGGUAACGGCUUACCAAGGCAACGAUGCGUAGCCGACCUGAGAGGGUGGUCGGCCACCCUGGAACUGAGACACGGUCCAGACUCCUACGGGAGGCAGCAGUAGGGAAUCUUCCGCAAUGGGCGAAAGCCUGACGGAGCAACGCCGCGUGAGUGAUGAAGGUCUUCGGAUCGUAAAACUCUGUUAUUAGGGAAGAACAAAUGUGUAAGUAACUAUGCACGUCUUGACGGUACCUAAUCAGAAAGCCACGGCUAACUACGUG